rnacentral:rRNA from 1 species
CGGAGGAAAAGAAACCAACAGGGAUUGCCUUAGUAGCGGCGAGUGAAGCGGCAAAAGCUCAAAUUUGAAAUCUGGCUCUUUCAGAGUCCGAGUUGUAAUUUGAAGAAGGUAUCUUUGGGUCUGGCUCUUGUCUAUGUUUCUUGGAACAGAACGUCACAGAGGGUGAGAAUCCCGUGCGAUGAGAUGAUCCAGGCCUAUGUAAAGUUCCUUCGAAGAGUCGAGUUGUUUGGGAAUGCAGCUCUAAGUGGGUGGUAAAUUCCAUCUAAAGCUAAAUAUUGGCGAGAGACCGAUAGCGAACAAGUACAGUGAUGGAAAGAUGAAAAGAACUUUGAAAAGAGAGUGAAAAAGUACGUGAAAUUGUUGAAAGGGAAGGGCUUGAGAUCAGACUUGGUAUUUUGUAUGUUACUUCUUCGGGGGUGGCCUCUACAGUUUAUCGGGCCAGCAUCAGUUUGGGCGGUAGGAGAAUUGCGUUGGAAUGUGGCACGGCUUCGGUUGUGUGUUAUAGCCUUCGUCGAUACUGCCAGCCUAGACUGAGGACUGCGGUUUAUACCUAGGAUGUG